AUUGAACGCUGGCGGCAGGCCUAACACAUGCAAGUCGAGCGGAGCGGGGGACGGGGGCGUAAUGCCUAGGAAUCUGACUGGUAGUGGGGGAUAGCGUCAGGAAACGGGCGCUAAUGCCGAAUACUAUCAGCUUAGCAUAGGUCGGAUUGGCUAGAUGGUGGGGUAAAGGCCUACCAAGGCGACGAUCCGUAACUGGUCUGAGAGGAUGAUCAGCCACACUGGAACUGAGACACGGUCCAGACUCCUACGGGAGGCAGCAGUGGGGAAUAUUGGACAAUGGGCGAAAGCCUGAUCCAGCCAUGCCGCGUGUAUGAAGAAGGCCUUCGGGUUGUAAAGCACUUUAAGUUGGGAGGCGUUACCAACAGAAGAAGCACCGGCUAACUCCGUGCCAGCAGCCGCGGUAAUAC
rnacentral:rRNA from 1 species